rnacentral:rRNA from 1 species
GACGAACGCUGGCGGCGUGCCUAAUACAUGCAAGUCGAACGCACAGUUUAUACCGUAGCUUGCUACACCAUAAACUGUGAGUUGCGAACGGGUGAGUAACGCGUAGGUAACCUGCCUGGUAGCGGGGGAUAACUAUUGGAAACGAUAGCUAAUACCGCAUAAUAUUGAUUAUUGCAUGAUAAUUGAUUGAAAGAUGCUAUUGCAUCACUACCAGAUGGACCUGCGUUGUAUUAGCUAGUAGGUGAGGUAACGGCUCACCUAGGCGACGAUACAUAGCCGACCUGAGAGGGUGAUCGGCCACACUGGGACUGAGACACGGCCCAGACUCCUACGGGAGGCAGCAGUAGGGAAUCUUCGGCAAUGGACGAAAGUCUGACCGAGCAACGCCGCGUGAGUGAAGAAGGUGUUCGGAUCGUAAAGCUCUGUUGUAAGAGAAGAACGGGUGUGAGAGUGGAAAGUUCACACUGUGACGGUAUCGUACCAGAAAGGGACGGCUAACUACGU